AUGUUUUAUUGACGCGUUUUAUGCAUCUAAUUCAAUAUUUCCAUUUAAAAUAGAACAGUAAAAGUUAUUAGAAUUUAACUAAUAUUAUACAGAUUAUAAAAUGCAUCCUCAUUUUGAUGUUGAAUUGUUAUAAAUAUUGUAUUGUGGAGAAGAUACCAUAGUCAACGUUCAAGAGUGCAAGUAUAGAUACGAAAUAAAUCGCCGUGGCUAUCUUUGUAUUUUGGCUUCUUAAAGUGAUAUUGUCUCUUGUUCAUUGCUGUUCUGUACUCUUUUCAAAUGUGUUUAUUAAAAAAGAUGUCCGACCUUGCCAUGUUAUUUAUUUCAAACUGUUUUUUUUUUUUAAACUAAAUUUCAGACCACGAAUGUGUCAGAUACAAGAUUUUCAAGAGAUACUCUGCCUCGAGAGCGGCAUUAUCGCUGGUUUGUUACGCCAGAAGAAGCUACAAAGAUGUUGUCAAGUACUGACCUCCCAGUUCUAGGAUUAAAGAAAAGAAGAUACAAACAUCCAUUUAAAGCAGUGCAAGAAGCUGUCUUAGGAUCACGCAAUAUUGAUAGUACAGAAACAUUUCGCAAAGGACACACGACCGACAGAUCUGAGAAAUCUACUGGUAGCAAAAAUUCAAAAGACAGCAAUAAUAACAGUGAAUCAGAUGUUUUUGUAAAUGCCUAUGGAACAGACGACAAAAAGGGGACUUCCUUUACCACUAAACAGGUUACUUUGAAAAAACGAUUUCAUAGUGACUCCGAUGUUCUUAAUAAUAUUGAACCAAGGAGUGUCAGGCAUAGCAGUAGGGUUAAAAAAGAUUUCUAAAAGAAGAAGGAGAAAAAGAAAGUUUUAUUUUCCUAUUACGUGCAUGGAGAUGAAGAUAUUUAACAUCAAUGAUUCAACAGAUGAACCCAUUAAGUUACAUACAUUCAUAACGAAACGAACGAUAUGUAUAAGCUUCAAAGUAGAAUAAUUACAGAUGUAUGUUUCAUUAUUAUACGUUAUUUUGAUUGGCUAACAGCAAUCUCGCGUCAUUCUUCAUUUCAAAAUGAAUUGCAUGAAUUGAAACAUACAUGAUGACACAUGUUUCCACAAUAAAGUGCACAGGUAAAUAAAAGAAAAACUUGAUAGUAAUCGUGUUUUCAUGAUCAUAGCGAAAAAAUGUAAUUAUAAGUAUUGAAUGCUUCUUUUAGUAAUUUCAUAGGGUUGUAAAAGCGUUGACCGUGCGUACAUUUUUAGAAUGAAGCGCUUUCGCGCUUCAUACAAAAUGUACUUUGGUCAACGCAUUUACACCCCCAAUGAAUUAACAAAAAGAAGCAUUCAAUUCUUAAAUAAAUACUUAGUAGUACAUUAUACAAUAUGCUACCAAAGAAAUGGUGUGACAUAGCUCCAUAAUUUCACUCUUGUAUAUGUGCAAAAAUAACUAGUAACUAGUAUCAUUGCGUAUAUAUCAUGUGUAGUUCAUAUUUGUUCAGUAAUGAUAAUUUGGCUGUAAUCAUAAAAACUAAGAUAAAUUAUUAACGAGACAGACAAACAAAUUUAUUAGUUGUAAUUGGCUUUGAACUAGCUUUCAGUAAUUGCAGGUACUCCUUUUUCGAUGCUUUGCGUCUAUUGUUUUUAUGUUAGUUGUUUUUGUGCCUCGCAUCGAUUUUUCGGUUAGCCAAUUGCAACUGGUGUUUGCUUUUAUGCUCUUAUGCUAACAAACAUGUUUAACCCCGCCACAUUCGUUAUGUGCCUGUCCCAAGUCAGGAGCCUGUAGUUCAGUGGUUGUCGUUUUGUCAUGCCUGUCAUAAUUGUAUUUCAUAAAUUGUUUUGUUAUGAAUUAGGUCGUUGCAUGGUUUUCAAAAUUGAAUUGUUUUACAUUUUUUAUUUCGGAGCAUACGGUAUGCCUUUUUUCUCAUUGUCUAUAAUUGUUUAUUUCCACUUCAUUUGAAAUUUGGUGGAUAGUUGUCUCAUUGGCAAUCAUACUACAUCUCCUUAUCUUUAUAAACAUUUACUUCAUUAAAAAAAACUCCAUUUAGAACAUAUGAACAUACAAAUUAGAAACAUGAGAUAUCGAAAUAAUAUACAUUGUAUUAGAUAUGACAUCUAUAAAUGUUUCAAUCUUAUCUGAUUAGCAACCCAGUCCUACCCGUGUAAAUGUAAAUGCUCUUUUGUUCCGACGUUGGAAAGUUCCGGGCGAAUAGAACUAACUAGCCGAAAAGUUCCGGAGGAACUUAUUAACUAGUUACUUUGUUCUUCCUCCGGUUUAAAAGUUCCACCGGAACAAAGUGACUAGUUGAAAAGUUCCAACGGAACAUAUCAACUAGUUAGAAAGUUCCUUUUUGCCAAAUUAGUCAAAACCGGAACUAACAAACUAGCCCAAAAGUUCCAACGGAACUUAUCAACCAGGCAGAAAGUUCCAUUUGGAGAAUUGAUGCAAAGUACAAGCGCAACAUAUUAUAUUUGAACCUUUCAAAGGGAAACCAAGAUACUGAUUACAAAAGUCAAAAGGAACUUAUCAACUAGCCACAAAGUUCCUCUUUGGCAAAUAAGUCAAAACCGGAACUAACAAACUAGCCCAAAAGUUCCAACGGAACUUAUCAACCAGUCAAAAGUUCCAUUUGGAGAAUUGAUGCACAGAACCACAUGAGGAGGGGGGUAUUCUUCCCUCUCUUGAGGGUACUAUGAAUACUAAAUUUGCAUGAUAAUGCAACUUAUUCCGUUUUAUGUGAGCUAUGAAAUACAACUUAAAUUUUGCAUAUUUGUCCCCAAAGAAACCCCUUUCAGUGCGUUGGGUAUUCUUGUAAUUAAUGAUUUGCUCUUAAAUAUACUGAUACUCAUUCUUCCCCCUCUUUCUACAAAAAGGACGAAAUAUGGUAUAUUCAGAACGAUGUAACUAGUUGUUCUGUUCCGCCAGAACUAUUCAACUAGCUACAUUGUUUCGGGACUUUUCAACUAGCUACUUUUUUCCGGAACUUUUCGACUGCACUCGGAACAAAACAACUAGUUGGAAAGUUCCAUCGAAACGAAAUAACUAGUUGAAAAGUUCAGCCGGAACAAAGUAACUGACGGAUCAUAGUGGCUGUUACAUAAACAGCAAUUCAUUGAUGGUACCUUAUUAACAGUUGACGUCAGAGGACGAUACCUUGGGUACUGACUAUCAUUAAAUGUAUAUAUGUUAAGAUAUUAUCCUAUCCAUUUCAAAAGCCCAAGUUGAAGCUUAUUAUAUGGUAUGAGUUUAGAUGAAGCUUAUUACAUGGUAUGAGUUUAGUUGAAGCUUAUUGCAUGGUAUGAGAUUAGUUGAAGCUUAUUAUAUGGAAUGAGAUUAGUUGAAGCUUAUUAUAUGGUAUGAGAUUAGUUGAAGCUUAUUAUAUGGUAUGAGUUUAGUUGAAGCUUAUAUGGUAUGUGUUUAGUUGAAGCUUAUUAUAUGGUAUGAGUUUAGUUGAAGCUUAUUAUAUGGUAUGUGUUUAUUUGAAGCUUAUUAUAUGGUAUGAGUUUAGUUAAAGCUUAUUAUAUGGUAUGAGUUUAGUUUAAGCUUAUUAUAUGGUAUGAGUUUAGCUAAAGCUUAUUAUAUGAUAUGUGUUUA